rnacentral:rRNA from 1 species
GACGAACGCUGGCGGCGUGCUUAACACAUGCCAGUCGAACGGAAAGGCCCUGCUUGCAGGGUACUCGAGUGGCGAACGGGUGAGUAACACGUGGGUGAUCUGCCCUGCACUUCGGGAUAAGCCUGGGAAACUGGGUCUAAUACCGGAUAGGAGCCAUUUUUAGUGUGAUGGUUGGAAAGUUUUUUCGGUGUAGGAUGAGCUCGCGGCCUAUCAGCUUGUUGGUGGGGUAAUGGCCUACCAAGGCGGCGACGGGUAGCCGGCCUGAGAGGGUGGACGGCCACAUUGGGACUGAGAUACGGCCCAGACGCCUACGGGAGGCAGCAGUGGGGAAUAUUGCACAAUGGGCGCAAGCCGGAUGCAGCGACGCCGCGUGGGGGAUGACGGCCUUCGGGUUGUAAACUCCGUUCGCUAGGGACGAAGCUUUUUGUGACGGUACCUAGAUAAGAAGCACCGGCUAACUACGUG